rnacentral:lncRNA from 10 species
GACAUCAGAAUACAACUCAAUGCACCUCACGCCAUUAGACAGCAUGAGUGACAAGCCGCAGGGAGGAUAUAUCAGACAGCACCAGAUCUUAGCUGGUAGGAAGCUGAUUGACAAGUUCUGUGGAGGACAGAGCAGCAGAGCCCUGAAGUCCACAGCAAUAAGGGGAAGAUGGUGUUCUAGACACACCAGCAGGGAAGAGCCAAACCUGGAUGGUCAGUUUGACCUCCCAGGGUAAGGAGCCUCUGGGUCUUCUCUACCUCUCCCAGGACCACCACAGUGAAACUAGAGCCAGAGGGUUCUUUGCUGAAAAGAGGGUGAGUGAGGUGGAGAGAUGCAGAUGAGAGGAGGCUUUAUGCAGAAGCCAUCAGGUUGUGCCAUAUCUAAAGCCUGGAAAAAGGAGGAUACCAGCUGAUAGGAUUUGGCUCUAUGUCCCCAACCAAAUCUCAUGUGGAAUUGUAAUCCCCACGUGUUGGAGGAGGGGCCUGGUGAGAGGUGAUUGGAUCAUGGGGGCAGUUUCUAAUGGUUUAGUGCCAUCCCCCUAGUGCUGUCUCCCGAUGGAAUUCUCAUGAGAUCUGGUUGUUUAAAAGUGUGUAGACUUCUCCCUUCUUCUCUUUCUCCUGCUGCCAUGUGAAGAAGGUCCUUGCUUCCCCUUCGCCUUCUGCCAUGAUUAUAAGCUUCCUGAGGCCUCCCAGUCAUGCUUCCUGUUAAGCCCGCAGAACUGUGAGUCAAUUAAACUUCUUCUCUUCAUGAA